rnacentral:tRNA from 1 species
GAGGGUAUAGCUCAAAUGGUAGAGCGCAUGACCAGCACGCAAGAAGUCCUGGGCUCAAUCCCCAGUACGUCCA